rnacentral:lncRNA from 1 species
GUAAUUUCUGUUUCAAGAAAUGAGCCAAACCAAUGGAGGAAAAACUGUAAUAAAGAAAAGGGAAAAGUAAGCAGCAAACCAAGUGUGUGCAUCAUUGAAAGAACAUGGCUGAAGAAAUGGUAAAUGGCCUGUAUCUAUAUUUCCAAUUACAAGGCAAACUCCCAACUCUUGAGCCACGAUCGCCCCCAGAAGAAAGAAGAAGAAAACUCUUCGAGCUCAACAUACCAGUACUUUUUAUUCUGUCUUAAAUUAGAAAAACUAAGUAAGGCACACUUUGCUCCCCCUCCCCCCUCUUGUGUUUAGAUGUUGUGCUGUCACGUGACGUGACUUAGACGCUUUGGGGGUUGUUAAGUUGUUUACAUAUUAUUUACAUUUUCACCAGUUGUUUUUGUUGUUGAGAAUUGUGUGAGAUUAUUAUAUUUUCUUAUGCUAUGUUAUACCCCUAAUUAAAGAUUGUGAAAUCAUUAUGUAGUUUUAGUUUGCAUUAUCCUCCUGAAUUAGAAGAAGGUGAUAACUAUUACAUUUGUUAAACUGAUUUGUAUUACAUUAGACUGCUGAUUUAUUGUGAAUGAAUGAUAUUGUUUUAUGAUGCAUUAUACUGCUGAGUUAUAAUAAAUACUGUUAAAAUCUCCCAGUUCUUUUAAUCUUUGGGCUGAAGGAAGGACAAUACUCGGUGUAUAAAUGCUCAAUCAACAAUUAUUUAUUCCAUACAAUUCAACACUUAAGAGCAUAAGAACCAUCAUGAUGGGGAGAGUUGCCUGCAGAGGGUCACAGCAAGUCUCAAAAUGGUGACGGGUUACUCAGCCUUUUAUAGCCCCUAGUAGCCCCCUCCUAGUCAUAAAACCCUAAACAUUCACAUUCUUUCUCUCACACGGCGCCUAAGUUAUGACCUCGGCUCCUUGUUUUUCUGCUCUCUGUAAAGGUGGGGGUAUGGAAUGUGGUCUUCUCUUCUUCUAUUCUAGACACAAGGUCUCCUGCACACAACAUUCUCUUCAUGAUUCAGCAGGAUGAAAUGUCAAGAAACAGUGUAACACAUUCAACAGUGUCGAGUAAUACAGGUCAAUCAAAUAGAUCUAAUGUUUUUCACACUCUUUUAAGUCAGAAGUAUAAUGCAAACUAAAACUACAUACUGAUCACACACUCUAUAUUAAGGGGUAUAAUAUGAUCUACAGCAAUAUCAUAAUUCAACUACUUUGAUUACAGAUAUAAGGUAACAUAUGAUAACAGAAUAAUCUCACAAUACUUUUUUCAGAGAGUCAUGGCCUUAUUCGUCUAAUUAGAAGAGAACAGAGCAUACCAGAGAGGUUUUCUGCCCCAUCUCAUCAGGAGGAAACAAAACAGGGAGCCAAGGCCGUCACGUAGGCGCCGUAAGAGAGAAAGAAUGUGAAUGUUUAGGUUUUUACGACUAGGUGGGGGCCAACAGAGGCUAUAAGAGUUUGAGUAACCCUCCACCAGUUUGAGAUUUGCUGUGACCCUCUGCAUGCAUGUCUCCCCAUCGGGAUGGUUUAUGCUCAUAAAGUGUUGAAUAGUAUGUAAUAAAGUAAUUGUUGAUUGAGCAUUUAUACAUUGUGUAUUGUUCUUCCUUCAGCCCAAAGAUCGAAAGAAUUGGGAGGAUUUAACAAUUGUAAUUUUUGUAUUAUAGUUUUUCAACAGUACUUGUUUUAUUUUGUUUACUGGUUUGCGUGCAUUAUUUUACAUUUAAAAAAAAAUAAAAAUUAAAAAAUACAUAACUAUACCACCAUGGCAGACCCGAUGGCAUUUUCAUGCUUCGCAGCGAUACUGGCCCGUAUUUACUUGGUAUCGAUUUGAUACCAAAAUAAGAAGUAUCGCACACCACUAGCAGCUACUAGAUGAGAGCCCAGUGUUAGGGGGCGGGGCUUGUUUUCAACCAGCUUUUAUAACAUAUGAACUGCAUAUUCAUAACCUCUGUAUUUAUUUUAAUUCUUUGUGGCAGCUUUUCACAUUAUAUCAAACUCUUACAAGUCUUGAAAAGAAGCUGUUGGACACAAAGACAUCAACCAAGGAUUUUGGUUACAGUGGUAUACUAUAAUAUACCACACUAUAUUAGUAAUUGUCAGUAACAUUUAUAUUAAUCAGGCUGAACUUUAAUCAUACUUUAGAUCAACCCGUUUUACUUGCUGUUUCCUUUGUGCUUUGGUUUCCUGUCUUCUGUUAUUAGACUUGAGAUAUGACUGCUCUGUGCUGUUGCUGAUGACUCCAGUUAAUUCUACAAGAUAUGCUGUGUAAAUAAACAAACAACAACAGUUUGGUCUGCAUUUAUUCAAAGAUUAUAUCCCACAGACUUAGUUUAGAGGGUCCACAUUGUCUACACUGUAUAUAGUGAAGUCUGCAAGUUUGAACAGUGGAAUUUGUUUUGUUUUGAACAAAUUAUUCUGCAGAUCAUCAGAAUGAAAGUUGUUGUAUCAUAGGAAAGAAAGUUAUUGGCCAUGUUUGCAUAGCCCUUUUUUAAAAUAUGCUUUUGUGUUGUUAAUUAUUCUUUUUGAAUCAUAUUUGCAAAACAGUGUUAUAUUAAUAUAAUUUACUAAAAGUUUUUUUUUUUAAUUUAGCAGAACUUGGCAUGUUUGUUAGUGGAUGAAUAAUCAGUAUGCACAGUCAGAAACAUCAAGUUAUUGUUAGAACUGUAUACUUGAAAGAAUAAGUUGUCUUAAUAUAGUCAUCUUAAGUAAGCUUUACUCUGUUUUUUUGAGGCAACAAGUUUUAUUCGUUUUUUUUAGUUCUGGGAACUAAUUAGAUUUUAUAGUAUGGAUUUAGUCUCUCUGUCUCCCUCUGUCCUGCAUCACAAUUUCCCACAUUCCCCACUGUGUGUAGUAAAAUGGUUCCAUUCAGUUUAAUGAUGAUUAAUAAAUAGGCGUAGCAGCUCUGAGCUUGACUCACUGAGGAGCAGAGAGACACAC